UAGGGUGCGAGCGUUAAUCGGAAUUACUGGGCGUAAAGCGUGCGCAGGCGGCGCGUUAAGACAGGUGUGAAAGCCCCGAGCUUAACUUGGGAAUUGCGCUUGUGACUGGCGUGCUGGAGUGUGGCAGAGGGAGGUGGAAUUCCACGUGUAGCAGUGAAAUGCGUAGAGAUGUGGAGGAACACCGAUGGCGAAGGCAGCCUCCUGGGCCAGCACUGACGCUCAUGCACGAAAGCGUGGGGAGCAAACAGG
rnacentral:rRNA from 1 species